CCUAGGGGAGCAGCAGUGGGGAAUAUUGCACAAUGGGGGAAACCCUGAUGCAGCAACGUCGCGUGAGUGAUGAAGGUCUUCGGAUUGUAAAACUCUGUCUUUGGGGACGAUAAUGACGGUACCCAAGGAGGAAGCCACGGCUAACUACGUGCCUGCAGCCGCGUAAU
rnacentral:rRNA from 1 species